GACGAACGCUGGCGGCGUGCCUAACACAUGCAAGUCGAGCGAGGUCCAUCCGGUGGCAACACUGGGGAAGACCUAGCGGCGAACGGGUGAGUAUCACGUGAGAAACCUGCCCCGAAGUCUGGGAUAACCCGAGGAAACUCGGGCUAAUACCGGAUGUCCUUCACAGAUCGCAUGGUCAAUGAAGGAAAGAAUUUCGCUUCGGGAGGGUCUCGCGGCCUAUCAGCUAGUUGGUGGGGUAACGGCCUACCAAGGCAUCGACGGGUAGCUGGUCUGAGAGGACGAUCAGCCACACUGGGACUGAGACACGGCCCAGACUCCUACGGGAGGCAGCAGUGGGGAAUCUUGCGCAAUGGGCGAAAGCCUGACGCAGCAACGCCGCGUGCGGGAUGACGGCCUUCGGGUUGUAAACCGCUUUCAGCAGGGACGAAUUUUGACGGUACCUGCAGAAGAAGCCCCGGCCAACUACGUGCCAGCAGCCGCGGUAACACGUAGGGGGCGAGCGAUGUCCGGAUUUAUUGGGCGUAAAGAGCUCGUAGGCGGCUCGGUAAGUCAACUGUGAAAGCUCCGGGCUCAACUCGGAGAGGCCAGUUGAUACUGCUGUGGCUAGAGUCCGGUAGGGGAGCGUGGAAUUCCUGGUGUAGCGGUGAAAUGCGCAGAUAUCAGGAGGAACACCAGCGGCGAAGGCGGCGCUCUGGGCCGGAACUGACGCUGAGGAGCGAAAGCGUGGGUAGCAAACAGGAUUAGAUACCCUGGUAGUCCACGCCGUAAACGUUGGGCACUA
rnacentral:rRNA from 1 species